AAACAUGGUUCUUUGAAGGAAAUAAAGAAUCGGACCUGCCCGGUGGAAGAUUCUUAACGGCCGCAGUAUCUUGACUGUGCAAAGGUAGCAUAAUCAUUUGCCUUUUAAUUGGAGGCUUGUAUGAAUGGUUUGACAAGAAUAGAGCUGUCUCUCAGGGGUUAGAUAGAAAUUAGUUUCUAGGUGAGGAAACCUAGAUGUCAUAAAAAGACGAGAAGACCCUGUCGAGCUUUAGCGAAGUAAGGUUAAGACAGUAACAUCUUUUAAGAUCUUAUAAAAUUUCUUUAAAAGCUUUAGUUGGGGCAACUGAGGAAUAAAAAAAACUUCCUUAACUUUUUUAAUUUUUUAUAGAAAAUUGAGCCACUAAAGGUGAUUUUAAGAAUAAGCUACCGCAGGGAUAACAGCGUAAUUUUUUUAGAGAGUUCAAAUCGAUAAGAAAGUUUGCGACCUCGAUGUUGGAUUAAAAUAUCCUAAAGAUGCAGAUGUCUUUAACGGUUGGUCUGUUCGACCAUUAAAAUUUUACAUGAUCUGA
rnacentral:rRNA from 1 species